rnacentral:rRNA from 1 species
GAGUUUGAUCAUGGCUCAGAUUCAACGCUGGCGGCAUGCCUUACACAUGCGAGUCGAACGGUAACAGGUCUUCGGAUGCUGACGAGUGGCGAACGGGUGAGUAAUACAUCGGAACGUGCCCAGACGUGGGGGAUAACGAGGCGAAAGCUUUGCUAAUACCGCAUACGAUCUAAGGAUGAAAGCAGGGGACCGCAAGGCCUUGCGCGUUUGGAGCGGCCGAUGGCAGAUUAGGUAGUUGGUGGGAUAAAAACUUACCAAGCCGACGAUCUGUAGCUGGUCUGAGAGGACGACCAGCCACACUGGGACUGAGACACGGCCCAGACUCCUACGGGAGGCAGCAGUGGGGAAUUUUGGACAAUGGGCGAAAGCCUGAUCCAGCAAUGCCGCGUGCAGGAUGAAGGCC